UACCAAAUUACUUUCGUAAUAUGGUAUCAGAGCCCUGGUUAUUUUCGAAAUAAUUUUUCAAUUAAAAAAUUCGUCAUGAAUUUUUUAAUAGUUUUUUGAAAAAUUUCUUUGCUUCUUCGAAAUCGUGACUUCUGAAAAUCGCGACUGGAGGUUCAGCGACGUUCUAUCUUCAGAUUUCGCGACUUUUUGAAGCGCCUGUCUCCACUCACGCGACACCAAAAUCCGUGAUUUUUUGAAGCGCCCGUCUCCACUCAUGCGACACCAAAAUCCGUGAUUUUUUCGCGUUUUUUGCAGCUCACGAUUUUUGGCGAUUUGCACGAUGUGAUCUUUGGUGGAUUUUUUCCACCGGUGGCUUGUCUCUUCCGCGUUUUGGUGCGACAGCUCUAUAAACAGUGACGGGAAUAUCUGGGUUAUAUAACUUCUACAGAUUUUUUUCUGCCAUUUUCGUCCACCCACGACCUUUCAAUCUGCGGCUAGGGUUUUUACGAAAACCCUCUGUUUUUGGCUGCCUUGGGAAAUCUGACACCAGAUUCCUUCUGGGUUUUUCGAGAGCUCAACUGGGUUGUUUUCAGAAUUUUGUGGGUGCAUCGUUUUCCAUGCCUCAAAUUUUGUGCCAGUAGAUUUCAAAUCUGAUUUCAGAUUCUUUCUAUGUUAAGUGCAUGAUCAUCUUUGCGACGAUGUCCACUAUGUUUAAAAAUUAAAAUAUAAUGAACAAACAGUAAUCUUGCUGAUA